rnacentral:rRNA from 1 species
AGUUUGAUCCUGGCUCAGGAUGAACGCUAGCGGCAGGCUUAACACAUGCAAGUCGAGGGGUAACAGGAAGGAGCUUGCUUCUUCGCUGACGACCGGCGCACGGGUGCGUAACACGUAUGCAACUUACCUCUAACAGGGGGAUAGCCCAGAGAAAUCUGGAUUAAUACCCCAUAACAUUGCGGAUUCACCUGAUUCUGCAAUUAAAGCUCCGGCGGUUAGAGAUAGGCAUGCGGCCCAUUAGUUUGUUGGUAAGGUAACGGCUUACCAAGACUACGAUGGGUAGGGGUUCUGAGAGGAUGACCCCCCACACUGGUACUGAGACACGGACCAGACUCCUACGGGAGGCAGCAGUGAGGAAUAUUGGACAAUGGGCGCAAGCCUGAUCCAGCCAUGCCGCGUGCAGGAUGACGGCCCUACGGGUUGUAAACUGCUUUUAUAAGGGAAGAAACUUCCGCUCGUGAGCGGAACUGACGGUACCUUACGAAUAAGCACCGGCUAACUCCGUGCCAGCAGCCGCGGUAAUACGGAGGGUGCAAGCGUUAUCCGGAUUUAUUGGGUUUAAAGGGUCCGUAGGCGGGUCUUUAAGUCAGUGGUGAAAGCCUGCAGCUUAACUGUAGAAUUGCCAUUGAUACUGGAGACCUUGAGUACACUUGAAGUAAGCGGAAUGUGUCAUGUAGCGGUGAAAUGCUUAGAUAUGACCCAGAACACCGAUCGCGAAAGCAGCUUACUAAAUUGUCACUGACGCUGAGGGACGAAAGCGUGGGGAGCGAACAGGAUUAGAUACCCUGGUAGUCCACGCCGUAAACGAUGAUCACUCGAUAUUGGCCUCCGGGCCAGUGUCCAAGCGAAAGUAUUAAGUGAUCCACCUGGGGAGUACGAUCGCAAGAUUGAAACUCAAAGGAAUUGACGGGGGCCCGCACAAGCGGUGGAGCAUGUGGUUUAAUUCGAUGAUACGCGAGGAACCUUACCAGGGCUUAAAUGCAGGACGACCGGUCUGGAAACAGACCUUUCUUCGGACGGUUUGCAAGGUGCUGCAUGGUUGUCGUCAGCUCGUGCCGUGAGGUGUCGGGUUAAGUCCCAUAACGAGCGCAACCCCUAUCUUUAGUUGCCAGCGGGUUAAGCCGGGGACUCUAAAGAAACUGCCAGCGUAAGCUGUGAGGAAGGUGGGGAUGACGUCAAAUCAUCACGGCCCUUACGUCCUGGGCUACACACGUGCUACAAUGGCGGAGACAGUGAGAUGCAAACUCGUGAGGGUGAGCAAAUCUAAAAACUCCGUCUCAGUUCGGAUCGAAGUCUGCAACUCGACUUCGUGAAGCUGGAAUCGCUAGUAAUCGCGUAUCAGCAAUGACGCGGUGAAUACGUUCCCGGGCCUUGUACACACCGCCCGUCAAGCCAUGGAAGCUGGGAGUGCCUGAAGUCGGUUACCGUAAGGAUCCGCCUAGGGCAAAAUCAGUAACUGGGGCUAAGUCGUAACAAGGUAGCCGUACCGGAAGGUGUGGCUGGAUCACCU